AUCCUGGCUCAGGACGAACGCUGGCGGCGUGCUUAACACAUGCAAGUCGAACGGAUCAUCAGGAUUUCGGUUUUGGUGGUGAGUGGCGAACGGGUGAGUAACACGUGAGUAACCUGCCCCGGACUCUGGGAUAACGACUCGAAAGGGUUGCUAAUACCGGAUAUUGAAUCUCUGUCGUGUGGUGGGGGUUUGAAAGUUUUUUCGGUUCGGGAUGGGCUCGCGGCCUAUCAGCUUGAUGGUGGGGUGAUGGCCUACCAUGGCUUCGACGGGUAGCCGGCCUGAGAGGGCGACCGGCCACACUGGGACUGAGAUACGGCCCAGACUCCUACGGGAGGCAGCAGUGGGGAAUAUUGCACAAUGGGCGAAAGCCUGAUGCAGCAACGCCGCGUGCGGGAUGACGGCCUUCGGGUUGUAAACCGCUUUCAGCAGGGACGAAACUGACGGUACCUGCAGAAGAAGCACCGGCUAACUACGUGCCAGCAGCCGCGGUGAUACGUAGGGUGCGAGCGUUGUCCGGAAUUAUUGGGCGUAAAGAGCUCGUAGGCGGUUUGUCGCGUCUGCAGUGAAAAUCCGGGGCUCAACCCCGGACUUGCUUUGGGUACGGGCAGACUAGAGUAUGGUAGGGGAGACCGGAAUUCCUGGUGUAGCGGUGGAAUGCGCAGAUAUCAGGAGGAACACCGAUGGCGAAGGCAGAUCUCUGGGCCGUACCUGACGCUGAGGAGCGAAAGCGUGGGGAGCAAACAGGCUUAGAUACCCUGGUAGUCCACGCCGUAAACGGUGGGCACUAGGUGUGGGAUCCAUUCCACGGGUUCCGUGCCGUAGCUAACGCAUUAAGUGCCCCGCCUGGGGAGUACGGCCGCAAGGCUAAAACUCAAAGGAAUUGACGGGGGCCCGCACAAGCGGCGGAGCAUGCGGAUUAAUUCGAUGCAACGCGAAGAACCUUACCUGGGUUUGACAUGCACUAGAAAGCGUCAGAGAUGGCGCCUCCUUCGGGCUGGUGUGCAGGUGGUGCAUGGCUGUCGUCAGCUCGUGUCGUGAGAUGUUGGGU
rnacentral:rRNA from 1 species